UACGGGGGGGGCAAGCGUUGUUCGGAAUUACUGGGCGUAAAGGGCUCGUAGGCGGCCAACUAAGUCAGACGUGAAAUCCCCAGGCUCAACCUGGGAACUGCGUCUGAUACUGGAUGGUUUGAAUCCGGGAGAGGGAUGCAGAAUUCCAGGUGUAGCGGUGAAAUGCGUAGAUAUCUGGAGGAAUACCGGUGGCGAAGGCGGCAUCCUGGACCGGCAUUGACGCUGAGGAGCGAAAGCCAGGGGAGCAAACGGG
rnacentral:rRNA from 1 species